CAGGUUAUUUAUUGCAACUGAAAAUCAAGUCAUUGGAGUUGUUCUGACUCAGGAGACUGAAGGAAAGGAGAAUGUUGUGACAUAUCUAAGUCGAAGAUUGGUAGAUACUAAAACAAGGUACACCUUAAUUAAAAAUUAUGUUUAUGCUUGUUCUAUGCAUGCACCAAACUUAGCCACAAUUUGCUAUCUGGCUCUUGCACUGUUUCCUUCAAACAGAUGCAUUUAAAUAUAUGUUGCAAAACCUAAUCAUGAGUGGCAGAAUUGGUUAGUGGGCUUAUGCACUUAUAGAAUAUGACUUGUCCUAUGAGUCAUUGAAAUCUAUGAAAGGCUAGGUUGUAGCUGAUUUUAUUGUAGAGCAUCACAUUGAUGACAUGCCUGAGCUAGAUAUACCAUAUCUUACUAUUACUUCAUAGACUCUGUAUUUUGAUGGAUUGGUUUGCAAUGAAGGAUAAGGGAUUGACAUUGUUCUUGUUUCUCCAAGGAAUGCCACUUUUGACUUCUCUUGCCGGUUGAAAGCUCAUUGCACUAACAAUUAAGCCAAAUAUGAAGCUCUCUUUGUUCGGUUUAGAACUUUUAAAUUAUAUGGGAGUAACACAUGUAAAAGUAUAUAAUGAUUCUUAUCUAGUUGUCCCACAGAUUUUAGGGAAGUAUCAAUGUUUAGAUAAUAUUUUGAAUGAUUACCUUGAAAGAUGUUGGGGGCAUAGUGCGCUCUUUUGACGAAUUUGACAUUCAACAUCUACCUAGAGAUGAGAAUUCUAGAGCUAAUGACUUAGUGCAAGAAGCUUCAGGUUAUCGAGUAACACGAGGAAAUUCCAUAUUUCUGAAAAUCCGGUAAUCAAGAGUGCGCUAAGUUCCCAGGCCAUGGAUCGUUCGAGUGGAGCAGUCGGACCAUCCGGCCCUGGGUCGUAGAUGUCCGCUAGUGAUAGUAGUGUGGCCUUGAUCGAUUUGGUUAAUGAUGCGGCCAAUACGAUCGAUCGAAGGACACCUUUUGUUACAUACCUGCAUGAUCCAAGUAUUAGGACAAAUAGGAACAUUCGGUUGGUGGUUUUUAAUUAUGUUCUAAUUGAUGAUGAACUUUAUCAUCGAACACCUAGUGAGGUCUUGCUUAAGUGCUUGGGCCCUGAUGAUGCUACAUUAGCUAUGACCGAAGUACAUGAAGGCAUUUGUGGUACUCACCAAUCAGCUCCAAAGAUGAAGUGGCUUUUGAGAAGAGUUGACUUCUAUUAGUCUACUAUGAUAGCUGAUUGUUUUAAGUACUACAAAGGAUGUCAAGUGUAUUAGAAGUUCGUUGAUCUACAAUUUGUUCCUACCGUCGAACUUCAUCAUAUCAUCAAACCUUGACCCUCUAGGGAAUGAGGUUUAGACUUUGUAGGAGAAAUUCAUCCUUAGUCAUCAAAAGAGCAUCGAUUUGUGCUAAUUGCCAUAGAUUAGUUCACUAAAUGGACUGAAGUCGUUGCUCUGAAGAAUAUGACACAUAGGAAAGUAAUUGAAUUUGUAACUGAGCACAUUAUCUAUUGAUUCGACAUUCCCCAGACUAUGACUACAGAUCAGGGGAGUUCUUUCAUGUCAAAGGAGGUACAUGAGUUUGCUGAAUCAUACAUGAUUAAGUUACUCAAUUUGUGUCCAUACUAUUCUCAGGCCAAUGCUUAUGUUGGCUCAAGUAAUAGGACAUUAAUUAUCCUAAUUAAAAAUAAGAUAGCUAAUCAUCCUAGGAAUUUGCACAAAGUUUUGUCUGAGGCUUUAUGGUCAAAUAGAAUAUCUAAACAUUGUGCUACUAAAGUAUCUCCGUUUGAGAUUUUGUUUAUGGGCAAGAAGUUGUUUUGCCUGUGGAGGUAAGCUUAAUGCUAACAGGUUUGCUAGGCAAAAUGAUAUAGCUAUCGAUGACUAUUAUGAUCUGAUGAUGAACAAUAUUGAUGAGGUGAUCGAAAAGAGGCUGAUGGCUCUAAGUGAGAUCGAAAGACAAGAUCAUGGUUGCUAGGGCCUACAACAAGAAGGUGAAGGUUAAAUCAUUUCAAGAUGGGGAUCUAGUUUGGAAGAUAGUCUUGCCACUGAGGAGCGAUGACCGGAAGUUUGGCGAAUGCUCACCAAGCUAGGAAGGGCCUUACAGAGUGACACAGGUAAUCUUCGGUAAUUCAUACAUGCUGCAGACUUGCCAGGUGAUGAGUUACCAAUGGUAUUAAAUGGUUGUUUUAUGAAACUAUAUCAUCCCAGUGUUUGACAAUAUGCAUAGAAAACCGAUGUGUCCCACAUCGAGUUGAUAACAGCCUCUACGUACCAGGUGCUUUUGAUUCGCUUAACUUCUCCAAAAUGCAGGGGGCAUUGUUGAGCACCAAAUACGGCACUUGGGGAGGCUGGAUGGUCCGACCCUAUGGUCCGGACGGUCCACAGGCUAGCCUAGACUAUCCACGAUUAGAUCAGAUAAAGCAAAAUAUCUCUCUAUUUCAUGUAUGUUUAUCCAUCUAAAUACGCAGAUUUUGUUGGGAGACGCCUAGGAACAGGUCCAGACCUCCCCCUAUAUAUAUCUACGGUCGAUUGCGCGCAUCACUAAUCAAACCAAUCAAUCAAAUCUACUUUAUUAUCUUCAUUCUUCCUCGCCUUAGGAGUAGGCAUAAAUUACGCCUAGAUUAGUUUUUCCCCAAUCUUCAUCCCUCUGCGACUGUACAUCGUCAACGUGCUAACUUUCGAGAUGCAUAGUUGGCUCUAGAAAGUUAGCUAACUUCCUAAAGGAUUCUAGGAAGUUAAGCUAAGUUACUGUCACACCUGGAUUAAAGGAGUAAACUGGGUGCGUCUCAUAUGUGCGCCAAAGAAGAACAACACAUAUAAUGACCAAGUGUAUAGACAUAAAUGUCACAAACAUUAUUACAUAGCGGAAGUGUCUUACAAAAAUAAAUGAUAACAAAUAAGCGAACUAAUAUUAUUUCCUUGACAACAUUAUGCUGACUAGGAGAUGCUACCUAGACUUCAUUAAACUCCUCAUAGUAGUCCUCCUCCUGGGCUCAGGGCCGGUCCUGAGGGCGGGCAACCGGAGCGGCCGCACCGGGCCCCAAAAUUCUAGGGGCCCCACCCCAGGUAUACAUACAGUGUAUAUACGUAUUAUGGUCAGAUCCAGGUAAAACUAAUCCAAUUAGAUCCAUGUCGAUUCAACUGCCUGGACACCACAGUAAUUGGAAUAAAAAAAUCCCUAAUCACCGCCGGCCACCACAAACGCACGCGAAAGCCUUGCCCUUGCGCGAUUGUGCCCUGCGCUUGCCGCCCUUGCCAUUUGAUCACCUCACAUUGCAGUCCUGCCAUCUUCUUGCCGGUCCCAGGCCUGUUGUGCUGCCUGUUCACGGAAUCACAGCACAGGUCACGGCUUCAACUGCUUGAAGCUAAGUUUACCUGAAAGUCCAAUGUCUUCUAUGGAGAUCUUUGAAUAUGUUCGGCAAAUGGAUUCAUAUCCAAAUAUUUCAAUCGCUUACCAGAUAUUAUUUACUGUGCUUGUAACUGUUGCAUCAGCUGAGAGAAGCUUUUCAAAGUUGAAAUUGUUGAAGAACUAUUUAAGGUCAACAAUGUCUCAAGAACGGCUCAACGGAUUGGCCACUUUAUGUAUUGAGAAGAAAUUAUUGGACAAGGUUGAUAGCAACAUUAUUAUCAACGACUUCACAUCAAUAAAUGUUAGAAAAAAUUUUAAGGUAAUAUAUAAACAUAUUUGAAUUUAUUUUGAUAUAUUUGAGUUAUUUAUCAUAUAAAAAAAUUAUUGAUGUACUUAGAAGAAUGUAAAAAAAUUAUAGAUGAAGCUUUAAAGGCCCCAAUUUUUGGUUUCGCCCCGGGUCCCUGCGAUCUCAGGACCGGCCCUGCCUGGGCUACCUGCUCUUCACCUAUGAGGGGGGGUUAUAUAUCAUAAGGGUGAGCUCACAAAAGUUGGUCAAAUUUUAUUAGCAGGUAUUAUAUGUAAGUAUAUACUAACCCAAAGUAAUAAUAGAUCAAAAUUAAUAAUAAAACCACAAUGCGAUGCAAAUGACAAAUUAAGUUUAAUUCCAUAAAUUAAUCACGUGAGUGUCCGAGGCGCUCAUAACCGUGAGCACGGCUAAUAUACCAGUUUUACACUCUAUAGAGGUUGCGCAUCUUUACCCACAAGCCAGGCUACCCAUUUGCCAAGGGGUCUAGAAGUCUCAUUCAUCUCUAUCGAGGAGACGAGGCAGGGUAGCACUACGAGGCCUUUCCAAAGUUCCACUAGUUCGAGAAAACCCGCUACAGAUUCAGAAAGAAGGAAGCAUAGGAAUCCCUCGUCCGGAAAGCUAAACAUACAGUCUAACCCGAGAACCUCCCUAUACUCUGCAGCAAUGCCUCCUCGCUUUCCCCUUUUAGAUAAGGUAGGCUCUCCCUAUCUUUCCUAAUUACUUGGCCAAGGAUGUACCAUUCCACCCUUAUGGUAGCACUGUUUUCCUGGGUGGUUCUCCAUGUUCCAAUUAACACAAUAAUCUUAUCAUGAACAAAUAAUAAUCAACAGUAAUAAUAAAGAAUGAUCAUGUGUCAAAUGUAGCUUAACACCCAAAACCACAUAGAGCAAUUGCAGGACUACCCAAAAGUUCAACAGUGAUCAAGAUAUAAAGUAGAUCAAGCUAGGGUGACCUAUUAGGUCCCAUCAAAUUAAACCUAAAUAUGCCACAAUGAUUAUAAAGAACAUUAUUGGGUAAAGUAAAGUGGUCAAGGGCACAACUUGCCUUCAACAAGCUCCUGCUCAGCCUCUUCAACCUGCCGAGCUCCUGCUUCCUCGAGUACUUGCUCGUCUACUCGCAACAAUACAACAAUAUUUCAUAGGAGAAAUUAACAUCACACCAAACAUAAGAACAGAAUGCAUGAUAAUAAUCUACGCAUCGUAAUGAGAUGCUAGGUUCGAGAACCACUAGAUUCUGAGUUACGGUUAAAAAGUUAUCAUUUUCUGAAAGUUUAGGUGUUAAAUAUAGGACAAAUUAAGUUCAUGAUUUUAACCAUAGGUUUAAUGGUAAAAGAAGGUUAUUAAAUGAUAAACAAUAUUAAUAUGAGUUCACUGCAAAUGGAAUGACUCAAUUUGGAGUUAAAACAAAGAAGUUAUGAUUUUUCUAUGUUCUUUGGACUUAUUACCUUAAUAAAAACUACUUUAUGAGAUUAAAUCCAGCUUCCUGCACGACAAUUAGUAUUCUCUGGAAGUUCAUGGACCUGUUUGCAAAAACAGAGGACCCAGAUUUCACGUUUCUUGAACUAAGUGGAUGGCGGGUUAAUUAGGCCAAAGGACAGGGGCUUUUUAAAAAAUUAUCUCAGCCGAAGGGGUACGGGGAUAGUUGAGACGUUGGAUCAUCAGCAGACGACAACGAUUAGAUUCUAGAUAUUGUGAACUGGUACGCCAUAACGGUUGUUAGAUCAAAACCCGACAAUCCAGAUCACCGGCGCGGAGGGGGCACGACUAGAGUCACACAUCAACCAAUCUACGGCCCAGAUCAGGUCGGAUCAAAGCGGCAGACCUGGUUCUAAUCCACACCGUUCGCACAGAUCUGGUGGUCACGGUUUAACGGGGCACGACUUUAAACCUAACUCGUCCGAUCCCGAUCGGACGCUCCUCGUCCCUCCAGAAUCUAGUAUGGGCAACUGAAUCGGGGCCAUUCAAACCUGAAUCAAGGAUCCCCAGCCACUUCCCUAUCUGAACCUAGCCACGGCGGCGACACCGUUUAGCCGCACGGCGGAACAUCGCUAGAGUAGGGUCUUCUACUGCCCCAAUGAGCUGAAACCCAUCGGAGAGUGGUGUUAUACGUAAGUGGGGGCAAUGCGAACAGCAUGGAGGACUUCUCACCGAGGAUUAUGGCGAGGCGUGGCUCCAUGACAGAGGAGAAACUCCGGUGAACAAUUCCCCAGUCCCUCCAAUCGGUGCUCCCACAGGGUGGGCGACGAAGCCUCCACGAACGAUCCGUGAGCUCCGGACGACGCUACGGUAGCCCACGACGGUGGUGAUGGAUCCUUCCUCUCUCUCUCAUGGCUCAUUGCAAUGGAUGGGCGGUGGUUGGGGUACGAUGAUGCGGGAGAGACCCUAGGGGGGUUUAUAUCCUCCGCACGCAUGAACCACUCGUGCGGAGGCCGUUAUGCCAGCUGGAGUUGCACGGUCGCGCCAUGCUCGGCUCGGUUGUUGUGUCCACGAGGGAAAAAAGGGAGGAAGAUCUACAGAAUGAGCGUGGCUGGCUGGUGGAGCCCACGGUCAACGAUAGGUGCGCGUGUAGGGAUGUGUUGGCUGGUGAGCGGACAGGCGGUCAACGGGAUAAGGGAAGUAUGGCGCGAGAGCGCGCGGUCACACGCGGCAUGGCUGGCCUCGUGGGGCCCACAUGUCGGUGCGAUCACGACGGGUUCAGUGGGCGGAGCCAUGGCUUUGGGCCGAGUUGGAGGACUGGCAGGGCGAUAUUUCGGCCCAUGCGAAGAACGGUUCUCUUUUUCUUUUAUCUUUUAUAAUUUCUUUUCAAAUUCUAAAUUCAAGGAUUCAAACCGAAUUUAAAUUUCUCUUUUGAUUCCAGAUUUAAAACACACAAUAGGGUCCCAAUUCUUAUAUAGCUCCUACUAUUUGCCUCAACGUUAUUUAUUUAUUUUUCCCCAUCGUUUACUCAUGGAAGGGAUAAUUUUACUUAUUUAAACUUUCCUUCUAAACUUUGAUUUUCUCAUUUCUUCCUUUCGAAUUUGAAUUUAAGUAAAGUUUAAAUCUUCAGGUAUCCAUAAAAAUGCACCACAUAAUAACUUCAGCAUGAUAUGCAUACAUUAUUAUUUCUAUUUACUUUGCAUAGUAUCAUAGAGGAAGAGCACAUUUAUAUAUUUAAAAAAUUCUUAACUCCUCUUUCUUAUUGCAUAGAAGUUGGGUAUUACACUUUCGACCAUAUUUUUUCGAGAGCUCAACUUUCAAUGGGAUGACUUAACUUCCAAUAGUUUCGCUAACUUCCGAGAGUUUAUGGCUAACUUCCUACGGUUUAGCCUUUAGGAAGUUAAGCAGUUUCUUAUAGUGAAAGGGGCGUCCUGGGUUACCUGCCAAUCCCGGGGCACCCCUGAAACUUUCCACUCUGACGGAAUCCCUCCGGGGAGGUAAGAUAUAGGGUUCUUUGACCAUUUGCACACGUGCGGACCGUCCGACCGACGACAGCGAGCAGAGGAGACUUGCUCCUACAGCAGGGUCGCGGACCGUCCGGCCGAUGACAGCGAGUAGAGGAGACCGUAGAGAGCACUGUCCGAUGAUAUAACCUCUAGUGUUUAGUGCUAAAUCGGCACCACCCAAUUAUUUGCAAGUAUAACCGUUAAAACCGACCGGACAAAAAACCAGCUGACAGCACGUACGUACGGGCGAUGCACGUAUGGAUUCUUAUCCAAACACUAGGCAUCCGCGCGCAGGGAUUCCUGCGGACCAGGCCUCGGCCAGCCUGAUCCGAUCCGUCGUCGACGAUUGCAUGCGGCGGGCUAGCCGAUCGAUCGAUCGAUGGAGCAAGGAAGGCCAUUGUAUGCUGAGUUGGAGAGACGGGGAGGCAGCCGGUUGCGCGCGGCGGCACGGGAGGCAGAGCCAGUAGCCAGCCAGGUAAUAAUAAAGAGAGCCCCGGCCCGUCGGCACGCGGGUGUCACAUGGCCGAUGCAGCAACCUGUGGCUGCCAUAGCCCGGCACAUGGCGCUGCCUGCAACCUGCUUCGUCGGCCUUGGAGCAUUUUCUGAUUUGCACACUGGCCGAUGGUCGAGCUUGAAAAGGACGGCCAGCGCCCCCAGGGCCAUUUAUCCGAUACAUAUGAGCGUACCCAGCCGGGCCUACAUAGAGACCGGCCAUCUGCUCUCCUCUCCUCGCGCGAGUUUGCAGCCAAGCAUACAGCCCCUUGGAUCGGGAACGACGACGACGCUUAUGCAUGCAGGUCCCUAUCCGAUCCCUCUCUGCGUGCCUUGAUGAACCCACACCGGGGACGGACGUACGUACGCGCCCCAUGCAUGGUGCACGCAUGACCUACAUCUGACGGCAUUAAUUCACUAUCAGUGUGACUGGUUGUUGCGUAGUUGCAGUCAGGCUCAGGCUCAUUGUGUACGAGCUAAGUUCAUAUAUAUGUUUUUUGUUUGGUUGUUUGCAUCCGUAUAUUCUUCACGACAAAUAUAACCGCUGUUUGGUUAUCUGUAUUCUUCACGAUAAAUAAAUCUUUAAAUAUUACACAACGGCUGUCUUGGUGAUUAUUUGUACAAAUCUUAAAAGUAUGUGUUGGGGGCUUUCGUCCUCCGAAGGUCAUCAAAACGUAAUUUAACAAUGUUUCCCAAGUAUUAUUUAUGGACAGGUAUCUUUGGAUUCAUGGUAAAAGCAGAUACGAUGAAGAGCUAGAUCGUGACGAAGGUUGUCGUCGCUCCGAAGCCAUGCGGAAGAGAGCUUCGGCUAAAUCGCAGAAAAUGGAACCGACUUAAAAGGGAAAAGGCUAUUCAGUCCUCAUAGAUUUUUCCAUAAGUCAAUAGCAAAUGUAAAGGGCAUAAUUGUAAUCUCUCAUAGGCUGUGUCCUGUGCCUAUAAAUAGGUGAACAGUGCCCCCGUACUGUUCACGCUGACUUGUACUUGCUUUUGCG
rnacentral:lncRNA from 1 species